rnacentral:rRNA from 1 species
GAUGAACGCUGGCGGCGUGCCUAAUACAUGCAAGUCGAGCGGUAAGGCUCCUUCGGGAGUACACGAGCGGCGGACGGGUGAGUAAUACGUAGGAACGUACCACAAAGUGAGGAAUAACCAGCCGAAAGGUUGGCUAAUCACGCAUAUGCCCUACGGAGUAAAGCAGCCAUGCGCUUUGGGAACGGCCUGCGUCCGAUUAGCUAGUUGGUAAGGUAAAGGCUUACCAAGGCGACGAUCGGUAGCUGUUCUGAGAGGAUGAUCAGCCACACUGGAACUGAGACACGGUCCAGACUCCUACGGGAGGCAGCAGUAGGGAAUUUUCCACAAUGGGCGAAAGCCUGAUGGAGCAACGCCGCGUGCAGGAUGAAGGCCUUAGGGUUGUAAACUGCUUUUAUCUGUGACGAUUAUGACAGUAGCAGAUGAAUAAGGAUCGGCUAACUCCGUGCCAGCCGCCGCAGUAA